rnacentral:rRNA from 1 species
CAGCCGCGGUAAUACGUAGGGUGCAAGCGUUGUCCGGAAUUAUUGGGCGUAAAGAGCUCGUAGGCGGUCUGUUGCGUCGGCUGUGAAAACCCGGGGCUCAACUCCGGGCCUGCAGUCGAUACGGGCAGACUAGAGUUCGGCAGGGGAGACUGGAAUUCCUGGUGUAGCGGUGAAAUGCGCAGAUAUCAGGAGGAACACCGGUGGCGAAGGCGGGUCUCUGGGCCGAAACUGACGCUGAGGAGCGAAAGCGUGGGGAGCGAACAGGAUUAGAUACCCUGGUAGUCCACGCCGUAAACGUUGGGCGCUAGGUGUGGGUUCCCUUCCACGGAAUCCGUGCCGCAGCUAACGCAUUAA